UCCGAUUCUGGAAGCAGGGGGAGCGGAACUUAGGGUACCUCUCUCCCACAACUAGAAUGGACAGGCCAGAGGACAGUCAUAGCGGUUUCCUUAAGGCUCACCAAAGGCAGCCGCUCCGGAUCCGGAUCUCCACCUCCGCCCCGCCCCUCAAUACUCCCAGGUGAUUGACAGUGCGGAGACCAAUGGGAGGCACUCUUGGCCGACCUACCCAGCGGCGCCGGGGCGUCUGUGAUUGGGAAGGUGAGGAAAGCGCUGCAGGAAGAGUUCUCUGCAGGAUGCUGGGUGAGAUCAAAGGGAGAGCUUCUGCCACCACCUCCUACUUGGUGUGUGCGGGGGCCGGCACAAAGACCAUCUCUGCCUCUGCCUUCCCCUGCUCCUAGCCAGGGUCAGCUCUUCUCUCUGACGCGGAAUACAGAGCUGGACAA
ensembl:lncRNA RAB5C-AS1 RAB5C antisense RNA 1